UCGCCUGUUUAUCAAAAACAUAGUUUUAUGAUAAAAAUAUAUAAAAUAAUACCUGCCCAGUGUUUAAAUAAAUAAAUGGCCGCAGUACCUUGACUGUGCUAAGGUAGCAUAAUCAAUUGGCUUUUAAUUGAAGUCUGGAAUGAAAGGAUAAAUGAAAAAUUACUGUCUUAUUUGUAUUAAUUAAAAUUUAUUUAUAAGGUGAAAAUACCUUAUUUUUUAAGAAUAAAGACGAGAAGACCCUAUGAAUUUUUAUUAAAUAUUAAAUAUUUAUUAUAUAUUUUUGUUGGGGCGACAUUUUAACAAAUUUAACUUAAAGUUUUUAAUAUAACGUUUAUGUAAAUUAAAUUUAAAUUACCUUAGGGAUAACAGCAUAAUUUUUUUAUAAGUUUGUGACCUCGAUGUUGGACUAGGAACUAUAUGGCUAACCGUUAAAAUAGAUUUGUUCUGUUCGAACAAUAAUAUCCUACGUGAUCUGAGUUCAGACCGGA
rnacentral:rRNA from 1 species